AUCUUUGUGCUUGGGGCAAGGACUUAGUUAAUGAGGUUUAACCGAGGCGGGUCGAUUGCUAAUUGAAAACCAAACUGAUUGAAAUCUACGUCACCCUAACUUGCCUAUUGAAAACAAAUAUCAUUAACCCACUUGUUGAAAAUAUAUAUAUAUA